GAUGAACGCUGGCGGCAUGCCUAACACAUGCAAGUCGAACGAAGCCUUCGGGCUUAGUGGCGCACGGGUGCGUAACGCGUGGGAAUCUGCCCUUGGGUUCGGAAUAACUCUCCGAAAGGAGUGCUAAUACCGGAUGAUGUCGAAAGACCAAAGAUUUAUCGCCCAGGGAUGAGCCCGCGUAGGAUUAGCUAGUUGGUGAGGUAAAAGCUCACCAAGGCGACGAUCCUUAGCUGGUCUGAGAGGAUGAUCAGCCACACUGGGACUGAGACACGGCCCAGACUCCUACGUGAGGCAGCAGUGGGGAAUAUUGGACAAUGGGGGAAAGCCUGAUCCAGCAAUGCCGCGUGAGUGAUGAAGGCCUUAGGGUUGUAAAGCUCUUUUACCCGGGAUGAUAAUGACAGUACCGGGAGAAUAAGCCCCGGCUAACUCCGUGCCAGCCGCCGCGGUAA
rnacentral:rRNA from 1 species